CAGGCUCAGCUACAAGAGAGGAGUGACCCCCAGCAGCUACUGCUGGACUCCAAACACAUGUUUCCUGUUCUGUUUCCAUUUAAUCCAUCUGCUCUGACCAUGGACUCAAUCCACAUCCCGGCCUGUCUCAAUCUGGAGUUCCUCAAUGAAGUCUGAGGAUGCGUUGUUUCCAAGGCAAGCGAGAAGGAAGUGCGUGCUGUCGGCUGAAGGAGUGCUAGGUCUGUUAAAUAUGCCCAGCGUAGAUCAAACCAUGUUAGAGACCUGUGGGGAGCACUGAACUAAACAGCGGGGUGCACUCUGGUCGUUAGCUUUUGUACAGACUGCUCAGAAAACACCUGAAGUGAGGACGAUUGUUGCAGUGGCACUUUCAGGUUAAACCAAGACACGUCAGAACGGACGGCCGCUGUGUAGCUCCAGUCACCAUACAAAGAUGCCAGUUCUACAGAGUGGAAGUGCCUAGCUUUGAGCUGUGUAUAUAACUUAAGAAUGUUCAAACUAAGAUUAUAUUAAAAACACAUGACAUAAA
rnacentral:lncRNA from 1 species